CGUCUCAGAGCCCCGCCCUCUAUCUCACUGUCGGAGACUUGGUGACAAAUCUGAUCAUCAGGGUGGUGCUGGUCCACUUCCUCCUGAUCAUGGGGACCAUCUCCCUCUACUUCUACUGUCGGGCCAGUAGGGGGCGCUGCAGACUGAAGGCACGCAACACAGGAUGAGAUACAGCACCACUGCAACCACCAUGACCACAGCAACGACCACAGUUACGUCCACGCCAACGUCCACAUCCACACCAACGUCCACGCCAACGUCCACAGCAACAUCCACGCCAACAUCCACAUCCAUGUCCUCGCCCACAUCCAUGUCCACGUCCAUGUCCAUGUCCACAUCUGAAUCCAUAUCCACGUCCAAAUCCAUGUCUAAAUCCAUGUCCACAUCCAUGCCAAUGUCCACGUCAACAUCUACAUCCACAUCAACGUCCAUGUCCACAUCCAUGUCCCAGUCCACAUCAACGUCCAUGUCAAUGUCCACAUCCACAGUCCAUGUCUACGUCCACGUCCAUCCUGCAGCGUAGUUGUGUGUGUGUUGUUUGUGUCCCAGUCCCACUUCUUUUCCUGGAGUCCUGGUCUGGUCUGAAUGUUGAGUGUGUUUCUGCUUCAGCGGUUCCAGGUUCUUUUUGGACUUGGACUCAGAAAUGUUCAGUCCUGACUCAAAGGACAGCAGAGGAGCUGUUCAACACUUUGGUGUCAAACUCAAGGAACAGCCCAGGAAAAGUGGUGAAUUCAUCCAUAUGAAGGAUUUUCAAGUGUUUGCAGCUUCUUUCAGAGCAGAGUUCAUGUGUGAGCGUGAACCAGAGGUCUAAUAGAGUUUGUAGUUUUUAUUCAGUCUUUCACUGUGCUUUUCUGUCUUUCUGUCAUUCCAGGUGUUUGUGAACCUGUCCUGUGUUUGCGUGUCACUAUCGUGUACAUACAGUCUCAUGUUGAACUCUGAUCAGGGCCUACAGCUCAGUCCCAACAGUAUUAAAGCUUCUCAACUGGUGGCUUGCGGCCCUAAAGUCAAACCAGCUUAAAUGCUUCAGUCUGUGAUGUCAGUUGUAUUUGUAUUGACAGAUGUACAGGAUGC